UCACAUGAGGCAAAAAAUUACCUUUGGCAUGAGGGUUAAGCGGGGGUCUCUGCCAAUGAGUUCGCCUCCUGCAUUGUGGAUUACCUUGAAGCUCACCCCACUUACAAUGAAUUCAUCCUUUGGAGUGAUGAGUGUGGUUAUCAAAACAGAAAUCUGAUCUUGAGCAAUGCCCUGUUAAAGUUUGCGACGGAGAGAAAAAACAAGUAACACAGAAGUACCUCGAAAGAAGUCACACACAAAUGGAAUGUGACUGUGCACAGUGUGAUUGAGAGGAAGCUGAGAAAUAGAGACAUACAUGUUCCAGCUGAGUAUGCUGCAGUCAUUCGAGGAGCACGUUCCAGUCCAAAACCGUACGAGGUGAAAUACGUUGGUCACAGCUUUUUUCAGAACUUCAGUGAACCUCUGCAAGUCAGUCCGACCUGGUAGCAAAGUUGGAGAUCCUACAGUGCAUCACCAUUGAGCAGUCAGAUACAGUGUGGAUGGCAGUAUGGAGUUUAAAUUAUUCCACUCCGACAACUGGCAACCCUUCACAUCCCCAUCCCUGAGGAAGACGUGCGUCAGCAUGGCCCCACUCUAUACAUCCCCCUAGAAAAUGAAAGCUCUCAAGUUCAGGCACCUUCAAGAAUUGAAACAUGUUUUACCCUU